rnacentral:sRNA from 1 species
GUAACGCCACGACCCAAAACGACGGAGCCACCGAUAGAAUUGACAGUGUGCUCGUCAGAGACAAAGAAAUUGAAUGAGGUAACGACGUCUUCAGUGGACACUUCCUCAACGGAUACUUGCACAACUUCCAGGUAUUUCUUUGCAGACAUUCUCAUAGAAAAAAUUAUCAUUCUUUCAGAAUGGAAGCCGGCGGGACUCCAUCGAAAGUUCCAGUCUUGGCAGUUGGAACCUAUCAUCGAAAAGAAGCAGCUCCUAUUCUGGCGGCGGCGGCAAUGCUUGAUAAUUCCAAAGCAACAACAUCAACUGCACAACCUUCGAUUAUGUCAACUUUAACAAAAGAUAAACAUAAAG